UAUAUUUUAGUAUAUGCUGUAUAAAAGUUUUUGAAACUUAAGGAGAUAGUUAAAUUCUAUUAAAUGUAA
rnacentral:tRNA from 1 species